rnacentral:sRNA from 1 species
UAGAAAUUCAGCAUCCCUAAAAAUUGCCU